CCUACGGGAGGCUGCAGUGGGGGAUAUUGCACAAUGGGGGAAACCCUGAUGCAGCGACGCCGCGUGGGUGAAGACGCGCCUCGGCGCGUAAAGCCCUGUCAGCAGGGAAGAAAAUGACGGUACCUGAAGAAGAAGCCCCGGCUAACUACGUGCCAGCAGCCGCGGUAAUACGUAGGGGGCAAGCGUUAUCCGGAUUUACUGGGUGUAAAGGGGGCGCAGAGGGCGAUGCAAGCCAGGAGUGAAAGCCCGGGGCCCAACCCCGGGACUGCACUUGGAACUGGGUGGCUAGAGUGCAGGAGGGGCAGGCGGAAUUCGUGGUGUAGCGGUGAAAUGCGUAGAUAUCAGGAGGAACACCGGUGGCGAAGGCGGCCUGCUGGACUGCAACUGACGUUGAGGCCCGAAAGCGUGGGGAGCAAACAGGAUUAGAUACCCCAGUAGUC
rnacentral:rRNA from 1 species